UGCAUUCACAGAACAGACGUCCUCUUCUUGAUUCAGACACGCAAAGAUUUUCAAAACCUAAAUAACAAGCAUCUUAUGAACUUUGUUAACUCCAUGGCAAAUGCUCUUAAUGUGGGUACUUCUGGUUCUCGUGCUGCUGUCAUACAAGUAACGCAAACAUCUGAGAUUCUAAUAGGUUUUAAUGAAACCUCGACACUCCAAGGCUUUGUUGCCACUGUUCGGCACAAGCUACACCAGCAUAAAAGAAUUCUCUACAAUCCGUAUGGAACCAGUAGAAUCAACAAGGCUGUGUAGAAUUAUCCAGUCAACUAUUUGCUGAUCAUUGUACAAGGAAUGACUUCCCUAGGGUUGUAUUAUAUGUCACAGAUCAACGACACUCUACCCAUGUUUAUAUAGGCAAAUGUCCUAUCAAGCAAUCAAAGCGCUGCAGCAAAUGAACGCUAAAGUAUUUACUGUUGCUGUUGGAGGAUCAAAAAGACUAGAGAACAUAGAUUUACCAUUGAGUCAGCGUGUAAUAACGUGUACUGGUUUCAUGACUUACUGAUGCUCACCAAGGACUUGAUGAAGAUGGUCUGCACAAGUUUAGCUCCAUAUCAUUGUAACAAACCAGUUGACAUAAUCUUCAUUGCCCAAACACCAUCCUCGUUACAUAUGUCCCUGAUGACGAAGCAGUUCAUGAAGGAUGUGUCCUCUUCAUUCAUCAUUUCCAGUGUUCAUGCACGGUUCGGAGUCAUAACGUAUGGACAGUCGACUUAUUUCCGAAUAAAACCCAACCAAGUCCAGACAAAUGAAGAUUUUAUUAAAGCCAUAGAGAAGUUGUUAUAGUACUGGUUGGUGAUAAGCUGUCCGGUUCAGUGGAUACCCUAUCAAUAUCAGCCAAACCUUUCCAUGAACGAGGGAUCCAUGUCCUAGCGAUAGGGAAAACAAGAUUAGUUAGUAAUUAAGAUCUCCUGCCACUCGUUCUAUCGACACAGGAUGUAACACUGGUGGAUUCGUUUGAAACUGUCCUGACGCAUAGUGAUAAAAUA